rnacentral:rRNA from 1 species
CAGCCGCGCGGUAACACAGAGGGUGCGAGCGUUAAUCGGAUUUACUGGGCGUAAAGCGUGCGUAGGCGGCUUUUUAAGUCGGAUGUGAAAUCCCUGAGCUUAACUUAGGAAUUGCAUUCGAUACUGGGAAGCUAGAGUAUGGGAGAGGAUGGUAGAAUUCCAGGUGUAGCGGUGAAAUGCGUAGAGAUCUGGAGGAAUACCGAUGGCGAAGGCAGCCAUCUGGCCUAAUUCUGACGCUGAGGUACGAAAGCAUGGGGAGCAAACAGGAUUAGAUACCCGAGUAGUCCCUGUCUCUUAUACA